UACGUAGGGUGCAAGCGUUGUCCGGAAUUAUUGGGCGUAAAGAGCUCGUAGGCGGUUUGUCGCGUCUGCUGUGAAAACUUGAGGCUCAACCUCGGGCUUGCAGUGGGUACGGGCAGACUAGAGUGCGGUAGGGGUGACUGGAAUUCCUGGUGUAGCGGUGGAAUGCGCAGAUAUCAGGAGGAACACCGAUGGCGAAGGCAGGUCACUGGGCCGCAACUGACGCUGAGGAGCGAAAGCAUGGGGAGCGAACAGG
rnacentral:rRNA from 1 species